UUUUUUUUUUUUUUCUUUUUUGGCUGCCCUGGGGUGUUUGGAGUUCCGAGGCCAGAGAGCAGAUCUGAGCCACAGUGGCCACCUAAACCACAGCUGUAGCAAUGCUGGAUCCUUAACCCACUGUGCAAGGCCUGGGUUUGAACCUGUACCUCUGUGCUCCAGAGACACUAUUGCACCACAACAGGAACUCCAAUACAUUUUUUUUUAAAAGCCACUCACUUUGUGGUACUUGUUAUGGCAGUUUUAGCAACACCUUACUCAACCACAAGUUCCUUGAGGACAAGGACCAUGUUUGAUUUAUUUAUGCAUCUCUGGCAGUAGCCACAGUGUCUGAGCCAAUAUGUUGAAUGGAUGAUUGAAUGAACACACUACCUAUUCCUUUGCCUUAAUCUGGUCUCCCACUGGAACUGAAGAAAAAUCUCUCUCAAUACUUCCAGUGCUGCUGCAUAUAGUCCCAAGUUGUGUGAUGUGGUGACCUUCAAUUAUUUAUUAUUGUAUGACUUUAUCUAUAUAAGGAAAGUCAAUUGAACAGUGAAACUCCAUGCCAUUUACAAGAAAACCCACUGCUAUUGUGAGGAUCAGCCCUUACGCAGCGAAACAGCGGAAACCAUAAAUAAUUAUCCUCCACAUCAGGAAUUGGUCAACUACAGCCUUGGGCCUAGUCCAGCCUGCUGUCUGCCUUUAUAAAUAAAGUUUUACUGGAACACAGCCAUACUCAUCGAUUUACAUAUUGUCUACAACUGCUUUAGUCCUACAAUGAGGGAAUUGAAUGGUUGUGAUAGAAAACCUAAAAUAUGGGCGUUCUUGUCGUGGCGCAGUGGUUAAUGAAUCCGACUAGGAACCAUGAGGUUGCGGGUUCAACCCCUGGCCUUGCUCAGUGGGUUAACGAUCCGGCGUUGCCGUGAGCUGUGGUGCAGGUCGCAGACGUGGCUCAAGGAUCCCACGUUGCUGUGGCUGUGGUGUAGGCCGGCGGCUACAGCUCUGAUUCGACCCCUAGCCUGGGAACUUCCAUAUGCCGUGGGAACGGCCCAAGAAAUGGCAAAAAGACCAAAAAAAAAGAAAACUUAAAAUAGUUACUAUCUGAUCCCUUACAGAAAAGGUUUGUGGAGCCCUGCUCUAGGUAAUAUAAAUGGGUAGACACGGCCAGAGUGCUUUGUAUUAAGUGAUAAAAAAUCCCACCUUGAAAUGGAAACCAUUUUAUCACACUUUGGAAGAUUCUACAAUACUACUGCCUACGUCAGGAUGCCAGAAAGAAAACUAUGCGUAGGAAAUAAUUUAUUUCUGCCUCAAAAUGGGAGCCAGGGGGUUUAUAUAUACAUAUACAAAUAUAUAUAUAUAUAUAGAGAGAGAGAGAGAGAGUGUGUAUGGGCUUAUUUAUGCGUAUAUGUGAAUGGGGGUGUGGAUGGAGUAAAUUUUGAGCAAAUAGAACAUAUGUAACUUACAAAAUUAGGUGCUCUAUAUACGGAAUUUUUUGAACUGUGUCCAGCUUCCCAAAUUAGAGAGAAGAGAGAAAUGGAUAGAGAUCUAUCACAAAGUCUAGGAGGAGAAAUGCUAUUCCAGUGUUUAUGAGAACAGUCCUGCCUGCAGUUUUAUUCCUUCUGGAAAGAAUUGUAGAAAGUCUUAGACCUUUUUGAACGGUCCCUUAUGGAUCAAGCACAUGCCUGCCAUAUGGCCUCAUCACCCUGGCCUCAGCUGAUUGGGCCAAGGCUGGACACCUGAUCCAAGUGUCAAAGGCCUAUGAAAUGGCCUGGUACAAGGAUUUUGCCCAGUGGGGUGAAUACUGGCCACACCAACCUCAUGCUCGGGGAAUUUAGAGACUUAUGGAGACAAUGAAUCUAUGGAUCAAGAUUAGCAAAAGCAAAAACAGAACAUACUUGUCAUCUCGAUGCCAGGGCAAUGGUUACCUAAGGGACAGGAAGAAAACCUGCUCACGGCAGCAGCAUGGCAUCCUGAGUGAUGCUGCCGUUUCCAGAGGUCUGAAUGUGCCACUGGGGUGCUGCCAUGAGCCGUGGUCCAGUUUGUUCCAUCUUCGUGUUCCUACUCAAGAAUGGGUUUAAGGUCAUGGUCAGCUCAUCUUCUAUACUUCAUCAUUUCAUCUACUCGCUUCCCAUCCUCUGUACACUUAUCUCAUUAUCUUUUAUCUACAACUGCCUUGCAAACUCUAACCUUCUCCCAACCCAAUCACAUAGUUCUCUACUCCUAGACGUGGGCAGUUUAGGGCGGCACCCUGCCCUAAAUAUACUACCUAGCCACUGUGUUGGUGGCAUUACGAAUGCAUGGUUUCCAACCUGAGCUUGGCCUUUAUGGAUGCGUAUUUGACUCACUCUCCUAUUCGUCACAGCUGAUACUGCAAACUUCAACCCUCCCCUGGCUUCCAUCUCCGUUGCCCACCUUACAUCCAAACUCAGAGAAAAAUAGAGGUAUCUGGCCUCAAUUUCCAGACUCUCCCCAACAACUUAAACCCAUACCCUUUCUUUCCUGCUUUCCUAUUUCUACGGAAGAGGUGAAGUCACUCUUGUUCAAAGCUAAUCCCUCUACCUGUGCUCCAAAUCCUAAGAUCUUCCACUCUUGAUUCUAGUCUUGUCUCUACAAAAUCAUUUCCAUUUCCAUAGUGGCAACUUCUCUCCUGUCCAUGGUUUCUUUAUUUGUGCAAAUGUAUAUGCUCAGUCUCCCCUCUUUAAAAAAGAUCUUUCUUGACUCUUCAUAACCUAUUAGCUAUCAUCUUAUUGGACGCAUGCAUUUAAAGGCUAUUCACUUUAAAAUGUUUAGGAAAUUCUGGUCCAUACAGAUAAUGAAAGUAAUUUAAAAGAGCCCUAUUUCCAAGCCCAUGCACAUAGAAAAGACUGCUUAAAAUAUAAUAAACUAUUUUUUUCCUUAAAUAAAUUACAAAGCUCAAAUUGAGUUAGAAGGAUCUCCAGGUGCUAGAAAUGCAGAAGGGUCUGAAAUCAGAAUGAUGAUGCAAUAGAAAGUCAGCAGAUAUAAUUCACUAAGGGAUUUGUACUCCUAGAACUGAAAUAAUAGGUCAAUCUGAAAGAAACUUAAAAAUGCUUACAAGUAUAAAGGAAGGAAUAGACUCCAUUAGGCAAAAAGGGACAUAUAUUUUAAAAAAUCAGGUGAAUUGGAAAAAAUUCUAGAAAUAAAAAACAGUUUAAAAAUUUUUAUUGAAGUAUAGUUGAUUUACAAUGUUGGGUUAGUUUCUGGUGUAUAGCAAAUUGAUUCAAUUAUAUAUAUAAUGUAUAUACAUAAUUGUAUAUAUGUAUAUUCUUUUUCAUUAUGGUUUAUUACAAGAUAUUGCAUAUAAUUCAAUAUCCUAUAAUAUUGUAUAUUGUGUAAUGGAUAUAUAUAAUAUAUAAUUGUAUAUAUAUUCUUUUUCAUUAUGGUUUAUUACAGGAUAGUGAAUAUAAUUCUCUGUGCUAUAAGUAGGUCCUUGUUGUUUAUCUAUUUUAUAUAUACUAUUUUGUAUCUACUAAUCCCAAACUCCUAAUUUAUCCCCCCUCUACCCUUGUUCCCCUUUAGGUAACCAUAAGUUUGUUUUCAAAAUCUGUGAAUCUGUUUCUGUUUUAUAAAUAAAUUCAUUUGUAUCAUACUUUAGAUUCCACAUGUAAGUGCUAUCAUAUGGGAUUUGCCUUUCUCUGUCUGACUUAUUUUACUUAGUAUGAUAAUCUCUAGGUCCAUCCAUGUUGCUGUAAAUGGCAUUAUUUCAUUCUUUUUUAGGUCCGAGUAGUGUUCUAUUGUAUACAUAUACCACUUCUUUAUCCAUUCAUCUGUUGGUGGAUUUUAAGGUUGCUUCCAUGUCUUGGCUAUUGUAAAUAGUGCUGCAAUAAACAUUGGGGUGCAUGUAUCUUUUCGAGUUAAAGUUUCAUAUUUUCCAGAUAUAUGCCCAGGAGUGGCACUGCUAGAUCAUAGAACAACUCUAUUAGUUUUUUCAGAAACCACUAUACGGUUUUCCACAGUGGCUGCACCAAUUUACAUUCUCAUCAACAGUGUAGAAGGGUUCCCUUUUCUCCAUACCCUCUCCAGAAUUUAUUGUUUGUAGACUUUUUGAUGAUGGCCAUUCUGAUCUCCUCAUAGUUUUGAUUUGCAUUUCUCUAGUAAUUAGUGAUGUUGAGCAUAUUUUCCUGUGCUUUUUGGCCAUCUGUAUGUCUUCUUUGGAGAAAUGUCUAGGUCCUCUGCCCAUGUUUUUAUUAGAUUAUUUUUUUGUUAUCAAGUUGUAUGAGCUGUUUGUAUAAAAAAGGCAGUUUUUAAAAAUUGAAACUCGGUGGCUGGGUUGAAUAGUUGUCUAGAUAUGGCUGAAGAGAUAAUUCAUGAAUUAUGUAAAGAAAUUCAGCUGAGAAAGAUAUAAAGGGAUAAUGUGAAAGAGAAGUUAAGAGACAUGGAAAGUAGAAUUAGAGAAUCCAAUGUACAUUUAGGAGGGUUCCAGAAGGAGAACUCUGUAUGUGGUAGUCGUCAGUGCUGACUUCCAAAUAUUUUAUGUUCUUCUCCUGGACACACACAAUAACUGCAUUUUCCUACCACCUGGAAGUUAGGUGUGGCCAUUUGACUUACUUUAGCCAGUGCAAAGUGAGUGGAAGUAAUACAUGAUUCUUCUGGGAGGCUGACUUAAGACUUAAUACCCAGUUCAUCACAUUAUUUUUCUUCCUCUUCUGCCAAGGCAACCAGCAGCAUCCCAGGUCGUGGUUGUUCUAUCAAUGGGUCUCAGAGUAAGGACACACAGAACACAGACCACCAGUUAACCCAGUGGACAUGAGGCAGGUAUGAGAAAUAAACCCUGCUUUUUAAGCCAUAGAGAUAUUGGAGUUGUUUGUUUGACAGCAUAACAUAGCCCAUCCUGACUGAAAUUGAGAAAAUGGCAAGAAGAGGCAAGAGACAUGAUUCAAAGAACUAAUGUAUGAGAAUUUAAUUGAAAAAAAAAAUGUCUUCAGAGAAUAUUGAGUCCUGAGAAAGACAAAUAAAGACAAAUCUACUGUCAGACACAUAAUAAUGAAUCUACAGAACAUAAAUGCAUAUUCUUCUAUUUCAAUCCUCAAAGUAAUAUUAUUACAAAAUGUUAUAAUUCCUAUUUUAUAUUUGAAGAAGUCAAAUCUCAGUCUUAUGGCUACAGAGCAAGUAAGGUACAGAACUGGGAUUCAAACACAAAUCUAUCUUCCAAGGCUCAUCCUUUCUCAAACCCUAUUUGAAAUCUCUGUCUGGCUUAUUUCACUAUGACACAUGUACUUUAAUUAUUAAAUUUUUAUACAUUGACUCUCCAACCCUAGUGGCCUUCCUGUUGCUCCUUGAAUACACCAAGUAUGUUCCAGUA
rnacentral:lncRNA from 1 species